GAUGAACGCUGGCGGCGUGCUUAACACAUGCAAGUCGAACGGAAAGGCCCAAGCUUGCUUGGGUACUCGAGUGGCGAACGGGUGAGUAACACGUGGGUGAUCUGCCCUGCACUUCGGGAUAAGCCUGGGAAACUGGGUCUAAUACCGGAUAGGACCACUUCUUGGAUGUUGUGGUGGAAAGUUUUUUCGGUGUGGGAUGAGCUCGCGGCCUAUCAGCUUGUUGGUGGGGUAAUGGCCUACCAAGGCGUCGACGGGUAGCCGGCCUGAGAGGGUGUACGGCCACAUUGGGACUGAGAUACGGCCCAGACUCCUACGGGAGGCAGCAGUGGGGAAUAUUGCACAAUGGGCGCAAGCCUGAUGCAGCGACGCCGCGGGGGGGAUGACGGCCUUCGGGUUGUAAACGCCUUUCGCUAGGGACGAAGCGUUUUGUGACGGUACCUGGAGAAGAAGCACCGGCUAACUACGUG
rnacentral:rRNA from 1 species